GAAAUGCGAUAAGUAGUGUGAAUUGCAGAAUUCAGUGAAUCAUCGAAUCUUUGAACGCACAUUGCGCCCUUUGGUAUUCCAAAGGGCAUGCCUGUUCGAGCGUCAUUUGUACCCUCAAGCUUUGCUUGGUGUUGGGCGUCUUGUCUCUAGCUUUGCUGGAGACUCGCCUUAAAGUAAUUGGCAGCCGGCCUACUGGUUUCGGAGCGCAGCACAAGUCGCACUCUCUAUCAGCAAAGGUCUAGCAUCCAUUAAGCCUUUUUUCAACUUUUGACCUCGGAUCAGGUAGGAAUACCCGCUGAACUUACGC
rnacentral:misc_RNA from 1 species